AUACGGAGGGUGCAAGCGUUGUUCGGAUUUAUUGGGCGUAAAGCGCGUGUAGGCGGUUUUUUAAGUCUGAUGUGAAAGCCCCGGGCUCAACCUGGGAAGUGCAUUGGAUACUGGAAGACUUGAGUACGGGAGAGGGUAGUGGAACUCCUAGUGUAGGAGUGAAAUCCGUAGAUAUUAGGAGGAACACCGGUGGCGAAGGCGGCUGCCUGGACCGAUACUGACGCUGAGACGCGAAAGCGUGGGGAGC
rnacentral:rRNA from 1 species